GGAGAGGGAGGCUGGGGAAGAUGAAACAGGUUUGAAAAGGCAACAAACCAGCUUAGGUUAGAUUGUUUUUCAAAACUAUUGGGAUUUUUAAUUUUUUUUAGAGUAAAUGAAGAGAUUUCACUCUGCUGAAAUUCAUCAUUUACAACUUUAAAAAGGGACACAGGUAAUUUUCACCUGUGAUCUCUGCUGUGGUUGAUUUCAAAUACCAUGCACAUAUAUCUUAAUCAGGUAUUUGUCCCUAAAAAGUGUUAGGAGAGGCAUUAAAUUUUAAAUUAAAAGGAAACCGAAGGAAAAUAGAAGAUCAAAGAAGACUUAAUCUUAAUAACACAGGGACAGUAAAUUGUAGACAGAUGAUGGACCUUGAGAAAGUCCCCCCAAAAAGUGUUUAGCCAAGCAAAAUUUAAACUGAAAACUCAGAAAAAUACCAAGAUUGAGAUGUUAAAGAGAAUCAAGAAAAUUUUUUUUUGAAAAAACUUAACUGGAAAAGCCAAGAGAAAAUGAGGCUAAAUGAAGGAAUGUGAAGUGGGGGAAAUCAAGUUUUAUUUACCUUUCAAACUAAUUAGUCUUCGGAUGAAAAGAAGGAGCACAUGGAUAUGAAGCCUGCUUAAAGCAGAGAGAAAAUGAGUAGGGAAAAUAGAAGGCAUUUCCUUUAAAAGGCAAGUUGGGGGGUUUUGUUGCUGAAGCUAGAAAUGUGCAAGUGGAGAGGGCAGGAAGCAAAAAAUAAGGGAAAGGACAAAACCGCUCCUUCUACUUUCAUGUUGGCUCAGGAUGCCUUGGAAGGAGAGAGAGACAGCCUAACCUACCCACAGAGUUGUUGUGAAGAUCAAAUGAGGAAGCAGACUAGAACAUCAACUCCACUAAGCCUUUCCAACAGAACCAGCAAGAUUAUGAAAAGAUAUGGGAAAUACAGCUCAAAAGGUAACUAUGGAACAGGCCAGGCAAAAUUGCCCAUGAUGUGUAAUGUGACUCUCUGGUGGUAAUAACCAAGGUUUUGGGAUUUUAUUUGAUUUUUGCUAAGUGUCUUCUUGGAACAGCUAUUUAGCAUACAGCUCAGACAGCACAAAGCAUUGACUUUAUACAAACAAAAAUAUACAAACUUCUCACUUUGAAGUGACCAUCGCAGCUGAAGGAAGGUAACUAUCAAGUACUCUUGUAUUUUCAGAGGCAAUGACAGGCUCAGAUACCUCACAAGUAAACCCUAAACACUACAUCACAAUGAUAGCAGCAAUAUAGUUGUAUACAUUAUGCCUGAAGGACAUCUUAGUGAGUAUCCCUUGCUUGGCUGGGAAGAAAAUUUAUGUUGUGUUCCUUCUGCAACAAUUUGUGCUUAGACUCUUUCUUAGACUCUGUGGUGACUCAGUUGUCAGAAGAGCCCCUAUUCUGUGUCACCACAAUGAGGCUCACUUGCAGGUAGGAGAACACUUCUUAUUUUGUUCCAGCUCCUCUUUUCUCCAGGUUUCCCAGAGUUCACUGUACCUGAGGUGAGAGUCACCUGCAUUUUGACUAUGCUGCUUUAGGUAAGUUCACAUUCCGCCACUCAGUGGUCUUUGUUCAAGACAAUGUUUUCCAUAUUGGUCUCUCCUUUUUCUCAUUUUCUUUUCUGCUGGUCUCUUCACAGGUCUCUCCAAAGAGCUCCCAACCAUCAAUUGAAGCCAGCUCUUCCAGCAGAGUCCCAGAAGUCAUGGUGGUAAGAAAAGCUGUUUGGUUUUUGUUUGUUUUUUAAAAAAACUCAUUUUCUGUAGGAUUGGUGGAAGGUGGCUGGAGACAAACUAGUGACUCUAGAUCGCAGACCAAAAAAGGGGAACCGCAAGACACACCCUCAGAUGGACAAACAAAAGGGUGAACAACCUUCCUUCUUUCCACACAGAGGUUUAAGUCUGAGUCUCAUCUCACUGUAGUGCCCCUGUAGAUCAAAGCCUCAUCAAGCUUCAAACAAAAAUGGCGGUCAAAAUGGUAUUCCAUGACUGAAGGACAUUUAGGUGAGUAUGCCUUGCUUGGUUAGGGAGAAAAUCUCUACUGUGUUCCGUCUGCAAUUCAUUGUGCUAAGACUCUUUCAGGUUGCCAUGACUGAGUUGUCAGAAGAGGCCCUAUUCUGUGCCACCACAAUGAGGCUCACCUGCAGGUAAGAGAACACUUCUUCUUUUGUUCCAGCUCCUCCUUUCUCCAGGUUUCCCAGAGUUCACUGUACCUGAGGUGAGAGUCACCUCCAUUUCAACUGUGCUGCUUUAGGUAAGUUCACAUUCCACCACUCACUGGUCUGUUGUCAAGACAAUAUUUUUGUAUUGACCUCACCUUUUUCUCAUUUUCUUUUCUGCUGGUCUCUUCACAGGUCUCUCCAAAGAGCUCUUCUUAACAUCGUACGGGGGUUUUUUUUCUGAGAGAACAUUCCCUCAGGUUUUGCUUUUCACCUUGUCGCAUUGCUCCAGAAAAAAAAAGCAAAAGACACUGGUGGUCGGCACUCCUGGUUCCCAGGAUGGGGUUCAAAUCCCUGUGGUGUCCUUGCUAACUUCCAAUGCAACCAUCAUGCCCCUCUAUUUUUCCCUAUAUCCCUAACUUCCCAAAAUAUUAGCAUGGGAGGAUUUUUGGGUAGUGAUUUCAAUGAAUAAGCUUGGUUCUGAACUCUGCCGAGGCAUCAAAGGACCAAGUCAAGCAACCUUUGCACUGUGCCUGCUGCUCUAACGAUGCUCCCCUGAUGCACCACCGACUGGAUCAUGUGGGUGCUUCCUAUCCUAGCAUCCCAGGAAUGUCGAGUGGAAACAGCCCUGAUGGCAGGCAGACAGCCGUUUGCCAGCCGACCAGUGGAGUUCAAAUUACAGAGAUGCAUAGCAGCUGCAGCUCAGAGAGGGGGAACGAAGAUGGAAGCUCCGUGUCUGGGAAUGAGGAAGGGGAGGGGGCUGACCCCCUUAGACCCCGCUCUCGUCAAAUAGGCGGCCUUCAGGACAAAUCACGUCACAAGAGGAGGCUGGGCUGCUUUUGGUUUCGCCAGAAGAAGCCUCCUCAGUAGGAACAUCUUCACUAAGGGAUGGACAGCAGCGUUCACUGCUCCAUGAACUCUGUUGGUUGGUUUUUUUGGGGUUUUUUGCAGUAAAUCUUCUUUCUAAUUAACCACACUCAUUUGUUUCCAAGACUACCUGACAAAUAAAAUUGAACAUAUAAUUCUCAAACAAGGUUUAGAUGUAAUUUGUCUUCAAGAAACACAUAUAGCGAGCAAACAUAAUGGGCAGGUUCCAAUAUGCCUUCA